rnacentral:rRNA from 1 species
GACGAACGCUGGCGGCGUGCCUAAUACAUGCAAGUUGAGCGCUGAAGGUUGGUACUUGUACCAACUGGAUGAGCAGCGAACGGGUGAGUAACGCGUGGGGAAUCUGCCUUUGAGCGGGGGACAACAUUUGGAAACGAAUGCUAAUACCGCAUAAAAACUUUAAACACAAGUUUUAAGUUUGAAAGAUGCAAUUGCAUCACUCAAAGAUGAUCCCGCGUUGUAUUAGCUAGUUGGUGAGGUAAAGGCUCACCAAGGCGAUGAUACAUAGCCGACCUGAGAGGGUGAUCGGCCGCAUUGGGACGGGGACACGGCCCAAACUCCUGCGGGAGGCAGCAGUAGGGAAUCUUCGGCAAUGGACGAAAGUCUGACCGAGCAACGCCGCGUGAGUGAAGAAGGGUUUCGGAUCGUAAAACUCUGUUGGUAGAGAAGAACGUUGGUGAGAGUGGAAAGCACAUCAAGUGACGGUAACUACCCAGAAAGGGACGGCUAACUACGUG